AUUGAACGCUGGCGGCAUGCCUUACACAUGCAAGUCGAACGGCAGCACGGGGCAACCUGGUGGCGAGUGGCGAACGGGUGAGUAAUGCAUCGGAACGUGCCAUUGAGUGGGGGAUAACGUAGCGAAAGUUGCGCUAAUACCGCAUAUUCUGUGAGCAGGAAAGCAGGGGACCGCAAGGCCUUGCGCUCUUUGAGCGGCCGAUGUCAGAUUAGCUAGUUGGUGGGGUAAAAGCCUACCAAGCCUACGAUCUGUAGCUGGUCUGAGAGGACGACCAGCCACACUGGGACUGAGACACGGCCCAGACUCCUACGGGAGGCAGCAGUGGGGAAUUUUGGACAAUGGGCGCAAGCCUGAUCCAGCCAUGCCGCGUGCGGGAAGAAGGCC
rnacentral:rRNA from 1 species